GACGGAGGAUGCAAGCGUUAUCAGGAAUUAUUGGGCGUGAAGCGUUCGCAGGUGGCUGAUCAAGUCUGCUGGCAAAGACCGGGGCUUAACCCCAGAAAGGCAGUGGAAACUGAACGGCUGGAGUGCAGUAUGGGUAGAGGGAAGUCCCAGAGUAGCGGUGAAAUGCGUAGAGAUUGGGAAGAACACCGGUGGCGAAAGCGCUCUGCUGGACUGCAACUGACACUGAGGGACGAAAGCUAGGGGAGCGAAAGGG
rnacentral:rRNA from 1 species